CUACGGGAUGCUGCAGUGGGGAAUAUUGGACAAUGGGGGAAACCCUGAUCCAGCAAUGCCGCGUGUGUGAAGAAGGCCUGCGGGUUGUAAAGCACUUUCGGUUGGGAGGACUGCUUCUAGCACUAAUAUUGUUGGAAGUUGACGUUACCUUCAGAAGAAGCACCGGCUAACUCCGUGCCAGCAGCCGCGGUAAUACGGAGGUGCAAGCGGUUAAUCGGAAUUACUGGGCGUAAAGCGCGCGUAGGCGGCUAGAUCAGUCGGGUGUGAAAGCCCCGGGCUUAACCUGGGAACUGCAUCCGAUACUGUCUAGCUUGAGUACAGGAGAGGAGAGUGGAAUUCCACAUGUAGCGGUGAAAUGCGUAGAUAUGUGGAGGAACACCAAUGGCGAAGGCAGCUCUCUGGCCUGAUACUGACGCUGAGGUGCGAAAGCGUGGGGAGCAAACAGGAUUAGAUACCCGUGUAGUC
rnacentral:rRNA from 1 species